GAUGAAGAACGCAGCGAAAUGCGAUACUUGGUGUGAAUUGCAGAAUCCCGUGAACCAUCGAGUCUUUGAACGCAAGUUGCGCCCGAAGCCAUCAGGUUGAGGGCACGUCUGCCUGGGCGUCACUUAUCGUUGCCCAAUGCCUAUUGCAGUGCAAUAGGAAUUUCUAGGGCGAAUGAUGGCUUCCCGUGAGCGUUGUUGCCUCGCGGUUGGUUGAAAAUCGAGUCCUUGGUAGGGUGUGCCAUGGUAGAUGGUGGUCGAGUUAGAACGAUACCGAUCAUGUGCAUGCUCCCCAAAAUAUGGCCUCUAUGACCCACACGCGUCUUUUGACGCUCAUGACGAGACCUCAGGUCAGGCGGGGCUACCCGCUGAAUUUAAGCAUAUCAAUAAGCGGAGGA
rnacentral:misc_RNA from 1 species